rnacentral:lncRNA from 1 species
AUGAGGGCACAAGCCAGAUUGGGCCAUCAGCUAGCUUCUAAAAGCCCCUGUUUAAUGCUACAGACAUCAAAAUAUGGCAAGAUGUUCAGAUCCCUAUGGAAGACUUCUGUAUGGCUUUACAACAGAAGAGUAUCAGAAAUACAUAUGGACUUAAGGAGCAUUUCCACUUAUAAGGAAACAGGCUCACACAGGUUCCAUGACAUUCUCAAGGUCCUUCGGCUGCCAAGUUAG